rnacentral:rRNA from 1 species
AGUGAACGCUGGCGGUAGGCCUAACACAUGCAAGUCGAACGGCAGCACAGUAAGAGCUUGCUCUUACGGGUGGCGAGUGGCGGACGGGUGAGGAAUACAUCGGAAUCUACUUUUUCGUGGGGGAUAACGUAGGGAAACUUACGCUAAUACCGCAUACGACCUACGGGUGAAAGCAGGGGAUCUUCGGACCUUGCGCGAUUGAAUGAGCCGAUGUCGGAUUAGCUAGUUGGCGGGGUAAAGGCCCACCAAGGCGACGAUCCGUAGCUGGUCUGAGAGGAUGAUCAGCCACACUGGAACUGAGACACGGUCCAGACUCCUACGGGAGGCAGCAGUGGGGAAUAUUGGACAAUGGGCGCAAGCCUGAUCCAGCCAUACCGCGUGGGUGAAGAAGGCCUUCGGGUUGUAAAGCACUUUUGUUGGGAAAGAAAAGCAGCAGGUUAAUACCCCGAUGUUCUGACGGUACCCAAAGAAUAAGCACCGGCUAACUUCGUG